rfam:Picea glauca, whole genome shotgun sequence.
ACAUGUCUGCAGCAUAGCGUUAAUGCACUGGAUCCUAUUAGAACUCCACAGUUAAGUGCACUCAUGCUAGAGUAGUACUGGGAUGGGUGACCACUCGGGAAGUCCUAGUGUUUUACAUGCC